AUUGAACGCUGGCGGCAUGCUUUACACAUGCAAGUCGAACGGUAGCAGGCCGCAAGGUGCUGACGAGUGGCGAACGGGUGAGUAAUGCAUCGGAACGUGCCCAGUCGUGGGGGAUAACUACUCGAAAGAGUAGCUAAUACCGCAUACGAUCUAUGGAUGAAAGCGGGGGACCGUAAGGCCUCGCGCGAUUGGAGCGGCCGAUGUCAGAUUAGGUAGUUGGUGGGGUAAAGGCUCACCAAGCCAACGAUCUGUAGCUGGUCUGAGAGGACGACCAGCCACACUGGGACUGAGACACGGCCCAGACUCCUACGGGAGGCAGCAGUGGGGAAUUGUGGACAAGGGGCGGAAGACUGAUCCAGCAAUGCCGCGUGCAGGAAGAAGGCCUUCGGGUUGUAAACUGCUUUUGUACGGAACGAAACGGCUCUGGUUAAUACCCGGAGCUAAUGACGGUACCGGAAGAAUAAGCACCGGCUAACUACGUG
rnacentral:rRNA from 1 species